GACGAACGCUGGCGGCGUGCCUAAUACAUGCAAGUAGAACGCUGAAGAGAGGAGCUUGCUCUUCUUGGAUGAGUUGCGAACGGGUGAGUAACGCGUAGGUAACCUGCCUUGUAGCGGGGGAUAACUAUUGGAAACGAUAGCUAAUACCGCAUAACAAUGGAUGACACAUGUCAUUUAUUUGAAAGGGGCAAUUGCUCCACUACAAGAUGGACCUGCGUUGUAUUAGCUAGUAGGUGAGGUAACGGCUCACCUAGGCGACGAUACAUAGCCGACCUGAGAGGGUGAUCGGCCACACUGGGACUGAGACACGGCCCAGACUCCUACGGGAGGCAGCAGUAGGGAAUCUUCGGCAAUGGGGGCAACCCUGACCGAGCAACGCCGCGUGAGUGAAGAAGGUUUUCGGAUCGUAAAGCUCUGUUGUAAGUCAAGAACGAGUGUGAGAGUGGAAAGUUCACACUGUGACGGUAGCUUACCAGAAAGGGACGGCUAACUACGUGACAGCAGCCGCGGUAA
rnacentral:rRNA from 1 species